rnacentral:rRNA from 1 species
AGCAGCCGCGGUAAUUCCAGCUCCAAUAGCGUAUAUUAAAGUUGUUGUGGUUAAAAAGCUCGUAGUUGAACCUUGGGCCUGGCUGGCCGGUCCGCCUCACCGCGUGUACUGGUCCGGCCGGGCCUUUCCCUCUGUGGAACCCCAUGCCCUUCACUGGGUGUGGCGGGGAAACAGGACUUUUACUGUGAAAAAAUUAGAGUGCUCCAGGCAGGCCUAUGCUCGAAUACAUUAGCAUGGAAUAAUAGAAUAGGACGUGUGGUUCUAUUUUGUUGGUUUCUAGGACCGCCGUAAUGAUUAAUAGGGACAGUCGGGGGCAUCAGUAUUCAAUUGUCAGAGGUGAAAUUCUUGGAUUUAUUGAAGACUAACUACUGCGAAAGCAUUUGCCAAGGAUGUUUUCAUUAAUCAGGAACGGAAGUUAGGGGAUCGAAGACGAUCAGAUACCGUCGUAGUCUUAACCAUAAACUAUGCCGACUAGGGAUCGGACGAUGUUAUAUUUUGACUUCGUUCGGC